rnacentral:rRNA from 1 species
ACGGGUGCGGAACACGUACGCAACCUUCCCAUAACUGGUGAAUAGCCUUUCGAAAGAGAGAUUAAUACACCGUAACAUAACAGAGCGGCAUCGCUUUGUUAUUAUAGGCUUCGGCCGGUUUUGGAUGGGCGUGCGCCUGAUUAGGUAGUUGGCGGGGUAACGGCCCACCAAGCCUGCGAUCAGUAACUGGUGUGAGAGCACGACCAGUCACACGGGCACUGAGACACGGGCCCGACUCCUACGGGAGGCAGCAGUAAGGAAUAUUGGUCAAUGGACGAAAGUCUGAACCAGCCAUGCCGCGUGAAGGAUGAAGGCCCUCUGGGUUGUAAACUUCUUUUACCUGGGACGAAAAAAGGGAAUUCUUUCUCACUUGACGGUACCAGAGGAAUAAGCACCGGCUAACUCCGUGCCAGCAGCCGCGGUAAUACGGAGGGUGCAAGCGUUAUCCGGAUUCACUGGGUUUAAAGGGUGCGUAGGUGGGUCUGUAAGUCAGUGGUGAAAUCUCCGAGCUUAACUCGGAAACUGCCAUUGAUACUAUAGGUCUUGAAUCAUCUGGAGGUAAGCGGAAUAUGUCAUGUAGCGG